ensembl:lncRNA novel transcript
ACAGGAGCUUGGGAUCUGUCUCCUCUUUCGCCUCCUGCACCUUGAGAGCCCUGGGCUACUCUGUCACAGCCCCUGUUGCCCUGCGAUCUGUAGGUCCUUGGGGACGCAUAGUUAAGGUGCCAGGACAUCCUGGAAGCUGGGAAAUGACCAUGGCUGGAGAAGGAAAGAAGGUGUGUUUUGCCUGAUUCAGGGACUAUAGAGAGAACCAAGUUCUGCAGGCCUGUCAUCUAAGUCUCAGCUGGGUGUCACAAACUCUGAACUGGAUUCCAAGGCUUUCAUGAAUGCACUUAUGUUUGCUGUGGCAGCUGCAUUAUGUCGUGGGGGAUGUGGAUGCAGAACCUCCCAUUCUGUCGUCUUGCUUAUGUUACUCUCCUUUAUGUUUCACUUUCUCAAAUGAAUGUCAAGCAGGUGAUUUUCAGAUUCAAAAGUUCUAAAAUAAAUUGCUCAAAUUUACACAUUAUGUAAGCUGUUAAUAAAAUUUCUUGUAGGUGCUACAUAUUUAUUAAAAUUUUUGGUUGUAAUUUUAAGCUCACUGUAGGCAGAAAGGAAUCAUUAAGAUUUCUAUUCUUUUUUAGUCUGUAUCUAAAUGACCAUAUAUUUUAAUUCCAAAUAUUUACUUUAUACUUCAGUAAUGCUCAUUGUAUUUUGCAAAAUUUAUAUUGUUCUUUUAUUUGAAAAUAUAAGGCUUUUUUUAGCUCCUGAAAUCUAUAUUAUAGUCAUAUAGUUUUAUUAUAGUAUUUGAUAAGAAGAGCAGCAACAUAUUGAGAACAGAAUAAAAUUCUGCUGUCUUUUUAAUGAUUAUUUAUUAAAUUCUUCUCAUUAAAGCCUAUUAUUAAUGAUUGUAAUGUAUUUACUGUAUAAUUUUACUGCAAUUUAUUAAAUGCCAAUGACUUCUAA